UACGUAGGGGGCAAGCGUUGUCCGGAUUUAUUGGGCGUAAAGAGCGUGUAGGCGGCCAAACAGGUCAGCUGUGAAAACUCGAGGCUCAACCUCGAGACGUCGGUUGAAACCGUUUGGCUAGAGUCCGGAAGAGGAGAGUGGAAUUCCCGGUGUAGCGGUGAAAUGCGCAGAUAUCGGGAAGAACACCCGUGGCGAAGGCGGCUCUCUGGGACGGUACUGACGCUGAGACGGCGAAAAGCGUGGGGGAGCAAACAGG
rnacentral:rRNA from 1 species